rnacentral:rRNA from 1 species
ACUCCUACGGGAGGCAGCAGUAGGGAAUUUUCCGCAAUGGACGAAAGUCUGACGGAGCAAUGCCGCGUGAGUGAUGAAGGUUUUCGAAUCGUAAAGCUCUGUUGUAAGGGAAGAAUAGCAAGAUAGGAAAUGAUUCUUGUCUGACGGUACCUUACCAGAAAGCCACGGCUAACUACGUGCCAGCAGCCGCGGUAAUACGUAGGUGGCAAGCGUUAUCCGGAAUUAUUGGGCGUAAAGCGCAUGUAGGCGGCUUUUUAAGUCUGAUGUGAAAGCCAGUGGCUCAACCACUGAAUUGCAUUUGAAACUGGCAGGCUAGAGUCUUGUAGAGGGGNGAGAAUUUCAGGUGUAGCGGUGAAAUGCGUAGAGAUCUGAAGGAAUACCAGUGGCGAAGGCGGCCCUCCGUGAUAAAGACUGACGCUCAGAUGCGAAAGCGU